rnacentral:rRNA from 1 species
GACGAACGCUGGCGGCGUGCUUAACACAUGCAAGUGGAGCGACGAACCGGGGGCUUGCCCCGGGGCAGAGCCGCGAGCGGGUGAGUAACACGUGGGUAACCCACCCCGAUGACCGGGACAACCCGAGGAAACUCGGGCUAAUACCGGAUGUGCUCCUUGACUUUGAGGUCAAGGCGUAAAGAUAGCUUCGGCCUUCGCAUCGGGACGGGCCCGCGGCCCAUCAGCUUGUUGGUGGGGUAACGGCCUACCAAGGCGACGAUGGGUAGCUGGUCUGAGAGGACGAUCAGCCACACUGGGACUGAGACACGGCCCAGACUCCUACGGGAGGCAGCAGUGGGGAAUCUUGCGCAAUGCGCGAAAGCGUGACGCAGCAACGCCGCGUGGGGAAGACGGCCUCGGUUCGUAACCC